UCCUGGAAGACUGAAUUCUUUAAGCGUCCCGGAGGAGGUGCUGCACACACCCAGCACAAUCACUACUCUAACUGCAGGAGAAGUGGGUGUAUCCUACCGAGCUGGCCUCUAGCUGCUAGAGCGUGUCUACAGGUGACUCUGCAAGCAUCCUGCACCUUCCCAAAUGCCUGUUCAGUCCCCAGGUUCCUGGGGAGGGUCCAGAUCUACACAGGAUCGUGGCCCGAGUCCUUCCACUCCAACCGCGAGGAGAGAUUCGGUGAGAAAAAAAGAGCACGCAGCCCAGAGUGUGAGCCUGUUGGAGUCGACCUCUUGGCUGUCAUUUCUUUCUUCAGAGUCUCCAGGCUGGAUUCCAAGCCAGGAUGGAAGAGGCUGUUAUGACGCCUGGGCAAAUCAGCACAACCAUAUUAACAGGGGUUAUCUCAGCGUGGGGGGAUUAGGGACGGCUUUUUUUUUCAUCGCUUUGCUUCUUUGCAUUUUCUAAUUUUCUGCAAUGAACAUGAUUAUUUGGGCAAUUAAAUAAUUAAAGGCAGGAGGAGGGGAAAACCGUA